CUAUAGAAAAAGUGGAAACUAAUGAUACUAUCCCAUAUAAAAGGCGGGUAAAAUAAUGUCAUUAGAUACCCUUAUUCCAUUCCGCGUACAAGACUACCCUUAAAGUUGUUAGGAAACUAUAUGACUGUUUUCAACGUAUAUAAACUACACAUGCUUGAUGAAACUGAAGAUUACAGCUGCAACACUUUGCAAGAUCUAAUAAUACAUCAGAUCUCAUGGUACUGAAAAACAACAUAUUUUAGUAAAGAACACAGGUUGUGUCUGUCCAUUGCUAAAAUUGCUCACUUCCAAAAUCCAUUCAAGAAAAUACUAUUAGACAAGAAUUUCUUGACGUAUCAAACUUCUCAUACUAUUUCUAACGUUUAUUUGUUUGGUCUUUUGUGCUUCAAUCCAUUAAAGUCUCUAUACCCUUGUUGUAUUAUUUGCACUCCAUAUUGUCAAAUUUGUUUAUCAUUUUAUUCUCUUUCUUCCUCUGUCAGACUCCACAAAAUGCUACUAUAAUUGCUCUCUUAUGUGUUGAGUUUUGACGUACAUUUUCCUUUUCAUGAUUUGAACAAGUUGAGCAUCUGCUUACUCCUUGAAUAUGGCUUGUAUUUACCAUCGUUCAUAGCUAUGCCUUCUGGAUAAUUAUAUUCUUCAAGAUUAGUAGGUUCUGUGAUGAGUAGCACCGGAAUCGACCAUCCAUGGGUCUGUUGCAGCUUGGUUACCUGAUAGAAAAUUUACCUUUACCUCUAAAUGAUUGUGAGACUGUGACCUGCAAACAUUUGCAGUAUGACCCUGUCUGUUGCAUAGUUGACAGCGAACAGGGUUACUGGUGCAACGCCCCCAUGCAGGAGCACUUCUACGAUUGUUGGAACGCCAUUGUGAGUUGUUGGGACGACGAGCAGUGCGAUUGCAGGAAUUGGUGGAUCUGUUUGGAAAUUUCACGAAAUCUGAUACAAGGCCACUCAGAAUUUUCACUACCAACUCAUCGUUUGUGACUGUAGCACCGGCGAUGGCUAGUUCAUUGCAGAUGGAGCGCACUUGAUGGAGAUAAUCAGCAACUGGGAGGGAAUCCUUUGAUAGUCGCGUGAGCUGGUCGCAAAGGCUAAAAAUUUAGGCUACAGUUGCUAGGUGUAGGGAGUGCCAAACAAGUUUAGUAGUGGAGGCAGUAGCUACAGUUGCAUCAAUCGUCGGAUCUGACAGAAGCCAUUAUGGCAUUCUGGAUCAAUUGAUCUUGGUGGAACCAAACGCUAUAUGCUGGAUUCUCUAUUUCUCUACCAUUCUGCGUGGUAAUUGUCGAAGGAGUGGGAGAAUAGCCAUCAAGAUGGCCAAACAGAUAGUGCCCACACAUGAGCAUGAAAAUCUGUGCCUUCCAUGUAGAAAAGUUAUGGCUGCCAACAAGUUUUAUCAGCAGCCAGGAUACAGGAUUAAACUGAACAACAACGCUAGAGUUGCGUCCAUUGGUAGAGUCCGCGUUCUAUAUGUCCUAGACAUGUUAAAAGGAGUCUGUGGUGGUAGUCAAAAGAUCGAAAAAAAAAACUCUGGAGAAUUAAGAUGUCAUCUCUGAUACCAUGUAAUGAAUUGAGCAAGAUGAAGCAAAAA